rnacentral:lncRNA from 1 species
AUUCUUCACUGAACCUCCUGCUCCAGCCUCUGCCUCCUCCAUUUUGAUGUCUAGAAUCAGGGGAUCCAGGAUCAUCACCAAGGUCAUUUUCCCAGACAGAUGUGCUGAGGCUGUAGAAAGUGCUUUUUAUUUGGUUGGGAGCUUGUGCAUAAAUGCGAGAGGGGCUGCACAUCUGACGGACUAGAGGUGACUCAUGGCUGAACCGGAACAGGACAUCGGGGAGAAGCCAGCAGUCAGAAUUCAGAACCCCAAAGAAAAUGACUUCAUUGAAAUUGAACUGAAGAGACAAGAACUGAGUUACCAAAACCUACUAAACGUGAGUUGCUGUGAACUGGGGAUUAAACCAGAACGAGUGGAGAAGAUCAGAAAGCUACCAAACACACUGCUCAGAAAGGACAAAGACAUUCGAAGACUGCGGGACUUUCAGGAAGUGGAACUCAUUUUAAUGAAAAAUGGAAGCUCCAGAUUGACAGAAUAUGUGCCAUCUCUGACAGAAAGGCCCUGCUAUGAUAGCAAAGCUGCAAAAAUGACUUAUUAAAUACUCCCAGGAAUGGCCGCGCAUGGUGGCUCACCCCCUGUAAUCCCAGCACUUUAGGAAGCCAAGGUGGGCAGAUCACCUGAGGUCAGGAGUUCUAGACCAGCCUGGCCAACAUAUAGUGAAACCCAGUCUCUACUAAAAAAAAUACAAAAAUUAGCUAGGUGUGGUGGCGCACACCUGUAGUAGUCCUCAGCCUCCCAAGUAGCUGGGACUACAGUGCCCACCACCACACCCAGCUAAUUUUUUUUUUUUUUUUAGUAGAGACAGGGUUUCACUAUGUUGGCCAGGCAGGUCUUGAACUCCUGACCUCAUGAUCCGACUGCCUUGGCCUCCCAAAGUGCUGGGAUUACAAGUGUGAGCCACCGCGCCCGGCCAAUUCCACUGAUUCUAAAAUGGCCUUAAGUGAAAUUAAUCACGUACCAAAAUGCCAUCCUAAGAAGUCCCAGAACUAUUUAGGUUAAAAUAAAAUAUGAAAUGACCUAG